UUCAGCCUGUUGUUUAGAUAUUUUUAUUUCAGAAAUGAUUCCUAACAAAAAUGGAGAAUAUAAAAACACAAUCAAAGCAGUAAAGUCCAUAUUAUGAAGUGUUUGCUGUAUCAGACAAUCAUGUUUCCAGUCUGCUGCAUCACAACAAUUGAAAUGCAAAUAUAAAUGAUUCACAACAAUGAAAACAAUAUAGUGCAGAUACACAUGGUGCUGUAAUGAAUCUGCUCUUAAACACAAUAACAAAAUACAUUUUCCAAGAGAGAUGAUAAUGAUUCACAUCAGAGUGAAGAACGAAUACAUUUACAACUGGUUUCUAACAUUUCUUAUAGAUCGAACUGAUCACUGAUAGAAACAGAAGAAUAUUCAAAAUGAUACUCUGAGAGAUACAUGAAUGAGAUAUGGAUAAAAUUAAAUCACAUAAAACAAAAAAGCACAUAAUCAUUAUAACUGGGGCCACCGUGGCUCAGGGGGUUGGGAAGCGUAUCUUGUCUGGGCAAGACACUUUACCCUACCGCCUACUGCUGUUAGCCAGAGGGGGCCGAUGGCGCAUUCCACCAGUGUGUGAAUGCGAGAGUGAAUGAAUUGUGGCAUUGUAAAGCGCUAUAUAAAUCCAAUCCAUUAUGAAAUAAAAUAUGAGCAGAAAUAUAGAAGAAUUAAGUGUGUGUCUGAGCUGAAAGCUGCUCUCCUCUCCUGGUUUUCUGUAUCACACAGACCACAACAACACAAAGCAUCACCUGCAGACCGCUGAGCAGUAUCCACCUGACUCUGUAGAAGGUCGAUUAAACCCCAAAGGGCUCUCUGUGGAUCAGAACAAAUGCUUCUGCUGACACACACUCAUUCUCUGACUUAUAACCUGCACACACAUACUCUCCUGCAUCUUCCAGUGAGACAUUAGAGAUUAUCAGGCUGUCACGGGAACAAGUGAUUCUUUUGUCACUGCAGAACUUAUCAUCGUACACAAUUUUGCCUUCUGUUUGGAUCGACUUCAUGAACAUAAAGUCCGAAGUACUAGUUUUCCAAUCAUCAGAGCAUCUCAUAGUGACUUCAUCUCCCUCUGAGAAAACCUUUACUGCAGGUGGACCAAAUUUAGGGCACACGAAAAGCCAGUACUGAUGUAUUACUUUUUCACCUUCACAGUAGUAGAUACCUGAAUCAUUUAACGUUAAUGAUGGAAGUACCAGCGAGAAGUUUCGACCAAUUUCUUGAUCAGCAUCGUAGGAAAUUUCCUUCAUCCAAACUGGGGGCUGGUCAUGAAUGGGGUCCAUGAAGGGACACUCCAGCACAGCUGUGUCUCCCUCUGAAGCAUAACGUAGCUUUGUUUGUUUGGUCAAACGUACAGAGUAAGUGCUCACACACUGCUGUUGGUUCAUCACCAGGCAGAUGUAAGACGUUGGUCGUGUGUUGACAUGAAGAAGUGAUGCGUUUGUCACCUGCAGGAAACUUUCUUGGACUUUAUUCACCUUCAAAAUUGUUCUGUCUUCGAAACUACUCAGCCCGGCUUGUUGCCACUCCCCGUAAUGUCUGAUCCAACGCACCGUCAGAUUCUCACCUGCUCCUUUACAUCGCACGUCUUCAGUGGCAUCAGGACUUAUGAUAGAUUCUUCCCACCUUACUGUCUUGCACACAGUCAGGCUGAUGUUUCUCUCAUAUGUCACGCUGCCCUGAGUCCAGCACACAUCUUGGUACAGUCCAGAGUCUGAGUGGGCCAGGUUGUUGAGAGUAAAUGAAGGAGAACCAUGAAAUGUCUCAGGAAAUGAGAGUCGUCCUGUCAGGUCUUCAUGUACUGUGAAUUUUCUGUUCCGGGGGUCAGAGAUGUUCCACAGGACCAGAGUAUCUUCACCAACACGUCUGGAGGUGAUGCAGGAGCUGUUUCGAUCUGGGAGCUUGAACUGUAAAGAGUCUCCUUCUUUUCUUAUGGCGAUAAAUUCUUCUGCAUGAAUGUUGCUGAUGAGAGUGAACAGCAGGGAGAAGCAGAGCUGUGCGACUGCAGCCAUCCUGCUCAGAGGUCUCCUGGUGAGUGUCGUACAAGCACUGACACUGCUCGCUUC
ensembl:lncRNA